rnacentral:rRNA from 1 species
UAGUAACGGCGAGUGAAGCGGCAACAGCUCAAAUUUGAAAUCUGGCUUCGGCCCGAGUUGUAAUUUGCAGAGGAAGCUUUGGGCGCGGUACCAACUGAGUCCCCUGGAACGGGGCGCCACAGAGGGUGAGAGCCCCGUAUAGUUGGACGCCUAGCCUGUGUAAAGCUCCUUCGACGAGUCGAGUAGUUUGGGAAUGCUGCUCAAAAUGGGAGGUAAAUUUCUUCUAAAGCUAAAUACCGGCCAGAGACCGAUAGCGCACAAGUAGAGUGAUCGAAAGAUGAAAAGCACUUUGAAAAGAGGGUUAAAUAGCACGUGAAAUUGUUGAAAGGGAAGCGCUUGUGACCAGACUUGCGCCCGGCUGAUCAUCCGGUGUUCUCACCGGUGCACUCUGCCGGGCUCAGGCCAGCAUCGGUUCUCGUGGGGGGAUAAAGGUCCUGGGAACGUAGCUCCUCCGGGAGUGUUAUAGCCCAGGGCGCCAUGCCCCCGCGGGGACCGAGGACCGCGCAUCUGCAAGGAUGCUGGCGUAAUGGUCAUCAGCGACCCGUCUUGAAACACGGACCAAGGAGUCAAGGUUUUGCGCGAGUGUUUGGGUGUAAAACCCGCACGCGUAAUGAAAGUGAACGUAGGUGAGAGCUUCGGCGCAUCAUCGACCGAUCCUGAUGUUUUCGGAUGGAUUUGAGUAGGAGCGUUAAGCCUUGGACCCGAAAGAUGGUGAACUAUGCUUGGAUAGGGUGAAGCCAGAGGAAACUCUGGUGGAGGCUCGCAGCGGUUCUGACGUGCAAAUCGAUCGUCAAAUCUGAGCAUGGGGGCGAAAGACUAAUCGAACCAUCUAGUAGCUGGUUACCGCCGAA